CUCAGGCAUUUGCUUCCUCCUCUAGCACAAAAGUAACAGGCCAUAAUCAGCUCACAGACAGGGCCUGCUCCCUUCGCAAUGGGAGUUUCCCCGAGCAUUGCCCUGGAGUCAGGAGCAGGUGCCAGGAAGUCUCUGCGGCAAAGAAACAUCCGCCUUUCCUGCUCGUUGGAGGGGCAGAGGCCAGGAGAAAAAUCAGCUGUGCUUUUUUUCACCUUUGUGCUCCAGCCUCUAGGCUCACUGCCUCCCCUUCCUGGAGAGAACAGAGAAAUCUGUCAAGGUCUGAGGUCUAGGUUUUUCUUGUCUGAGUGAGUGAGGAGACAACUGGGGAGGUAAUGUCAUCUUUGAGUCUCAAGGGCUGCCCUACUUAUGUUUCCAAGAGACAGAAGAGCCUGGACUUUGUCGUUGAUCAGACGAAGGCUUGAGUCCUGUUUCUGCCACCAUGAAGCUGCGUUAAGCAGCCUCUCUAGGCCUCCAUAUCUUUAUCUGCAAAAUAGAGACAACCACAGCCCUUUUCUGAGAAGAUCCUUGAGGAUGACCGGGCCUGGUGGCUCAUGCCUAUAAUAUCCCAGCACUUUGGGAGGUUGAGGUGGGUGGAUCACUCAAGGUCAGGAGUUCGAGACCAGUCUGACCAACACGGUGAAACCCUAUCUCUACUAAAAAUACAAAAAUUAGCUGGGAGUGGUGGUGCGUGCCUGUAAUCCCAGAUACCCAGAAGGCUGAGGCAGGAGAAUCGCUUGAAACCAGGAAGAGGAGGUUGUAGUGAGCCGAGGUCAUGCCACUGCACUCCAGCCUGGGCAACAGAGUGAGACUCUGUUUCAAAAAAAAAGAGAAAGAUCCCUGAGGAUGAAGAGAUGCUGAUAAACUGCUCAGCCACUUCUGGCACAAAUAAACUGACAAACGGAGGCGGCAUUGCAGAGCGGCCACGAGUCAUAAGUUCAGGUUCUGGCAUCCAAUGGAGUGUGAUUCCUCGUUCUACCACUUUCUUGCUACGUGACUUUCAGGAAAUUACUUAACUCCUCUGGGCCUGAGUCUCCUAAUCCAUAAACUGCUUUUUGUGAGGACUUCUUGCAAAAGUGCUUAGAAUGGUGUCUGGCAUAGAGUAAGCACUCAGUAAAGGUUAGCUAUUGGAGUGGAAUAAAAUUUAACAUGGGGAUGUUUGACGACUACCAGCCUCCAGGCUGCCAAAGAUAAUUCUGUGAUUGCCAGUCCUGUCCACUUGUUCUACAACUUCUCUUGCCUCUGUGUGCCUGUGAUGAUCUUUUGAUGUGUCAGUUUGGCUGGGCUACAUCCCCAGCAAUUCGACCAAGCAUUAAUCUAGGUGUUAAUACCUGUGAAAGUAGGCCGGGCACGGUGGCUUACGCCAGUAACCGCAGCACUUUGGGAGGCUGAGGCAGGUGGAUCACAAGGUCAGGAAUUUGAGACCAGCCUGACCAACAUGGUGAAACCCCAUCUCUACUAAAAAUACAAAAAAUUAGCCGGACGUGGAGGCACGCGCCUGUAAUCUCAGCUACUCAGGAGGCUGAGGCAGGAGAAUCGCUUGAACCCUGGAGGCGGAGGUUGCAGUGAGCCAAGAUCCUACCACUGCACUCCAGCCUGGGUGACAGAGUGAGACUCUGUGUCAAAAAAAAAAAAAACAAAAAAACCUGUGAAAGUAUUUUGUAGGUGUGAUUGAAUCCACAAUGAGUUGACUGUAAGUAAGGGAGAUUUUCCUAGAUAAUCUGGGUGGGCCUGAUUCCGUUGAAAAGCUUAAAGAAUAGAACUGAGGUUCCCCUGAUGAAGUUAUUCCCCCUGUGGACAGCAGCUCCAGCUCUGCCUUCCCGAGUGUCUGCUCUGCCAAUUGUACACUUGCGCCUGCAGCUCCCCCUAAUCGUAUAAGCCAAUUCCUUGCAAUGAAUCUUAGUCUAUAUGUCUCACUGUUUCUGUUUCUAUGGGGGAACCCUAACUGAUAAGAGCAUCCAGCACCUGGCAGGGGCCUGACACACCAUGGGGACAAUCUGCUUCUGAACGGAUGCAAGGCAAUCGGACUGUUUGGAAGGAAGUGAGGAGGUGGGGAGGAAGUGAUCACAGCCAUGAGGGGUGGUGAGGGGCAGGCUAAGGGUUUUGACCUGGGAAGAGCUAAGUCUUUGUGCAGAAGAAAUGACAGGGCCAGGACAGCUCAGACACCUGCAGGCCUCUUCUCACACAGCCUCUCCUUCUGGCCAUGCCCUGUAUUCCAGAUUAGGUCUCCAUCACAUUCUCUCAUAACGCCUCUCAAUUUCCCUUUAUGGUAGUUAUACAUUCGCAGGUGUGAUCGUUGGAUUAGUGCCUGUCUCUCCCACCAGAGUCCGAGCUCUGAGAGGCUGGGGUUUGCUCAUGGUGGUUUGCCCCUGGACAUAGCAUUGUAGGGACUCAGUCUUUACCUGUGGAAUGAAUGAAGAGUAAAUGAGUGCAAUGCCGUCCUGCCUCUGUGACCUGCCUUAAGGUCAUGGAGACGGAGAAGGAAGAGGGUGUGGCUUUGAAGUUUCUUUUAGGCUCCCAGGGUCGGGCUGGGGUUAGAGUUUGCAGAAUUAUCUCAUAGUCUAGGGGAGAUGAUAAAUUUGGGAGCCAGGAAGUCAGGGUGCUGGAUGCAGAUAGGAGUUGGCCGUGUUCCUGCUCUCAGGCUCCUAGGAAAGCAGGUGGGGCAGGCUGGGGAAGUGUGGUGGUAGCUCAGGACCGGGGUUCUAGCCUCAUGUCCAUCAAAGGUCUGCUGGAUAACUUCACUAAGCUUCAUCUGGGCCAAGUUUCUCCAUCUGUCUCAUGAUGGGUUAGUUGAGAUGAUCCGCAAAGAUUCUUCCAACACCAGAGUUCAAUGAGAUUAGGAAGUAGAAUUCUAGGUUCAAGGGCCGCAGUAAAUUUUUAAUCUCAACUGCAGAGUGCAAACCCUUGCACCUCCCUUCUGCAAACAGAGUGGAGUGAAGAGAUCUACUUGCCUUGUUUUCCAGACUUCAGUCCUUCAAGCUCUA
rnacentral:lncRNA from 1 species